ACGAACGCUGGCGGCACGCUUAACACAUGCAAGUCGAACGAGAGAAGAGGAGCUUGCUUUUCUGAUCUAGUGGCGGACGGGUGAGUAACACGUGAGCAAUCUGCCUUUCAGAGGGGGAUACCGAUUGGAAACGAUCGUUAAUACCGCAUAACAUAAUUGAACCGCAUGAUUUGAUUAUCAAAGAUUUAUCGCUGAAAGAUGAGCUCGCGUCUGAUUAGCUAGUUGGUAAGGUAACGGCUUACCAAGGCGACGAUCAGUAGCCGGACUGAGAGGUUGAUCGGCCACAUUGGGACUGAGACACGGCCCAGACUCCUACGGGAGGCAGCAGUGGGGAAUAUUGCACAAUGGAGGAAACUCUGAUGCAGCGAUGCCGCGUGAGGGAAGAAGGUUUUAGGAUUGUAAACCUCUGUCUUCAGGGACGAAAAAAGACGGUACCUGAGGAGGAAGCUCCGGCUAACUACGUGCCAGCAGCCGCGGUAAUACGUAGGGAGCAAGCGUUGUCCGGAAUUACUGGGUGUAAAGGGAGCGUAGGCGGGAUCGCAAGUCAGAUGUGAAAACUAUGGGCUUAACCCAUAAACUGCAUUUGAAACUGUGGUUCUUGAGUGAAGUAGAGGUAAGCGGAAUUCCUAGUGUAGCGGUGAAAUGCGUAGAUAUUAGGAGGAACAUCAGUGGCGAAGGCGGCUUACUGGGCUUUAACUGACGCUGAGGCUCGAAAGCGUGGGGAGCAAACAGGAUUAGAUACCCUGGUAGUCCACGCCGUAAACGAUGAUUACUAGGUGUGGGGGGACUGACCCCUUCCGUGCCGCAGCAAACGCAAUAAGUAAUCCACCUGGGGAGUACGACCGCAAGGUUGAAACUCAAAGGAAUUGACGGGGGCCCGCACAAGCAGUGGAGUAUGUGGAUUAAUUCGAAGCAACGCGAAGAACCUUACCAGGUCUUGACAUCGUAUGCAUAGCUCAGAGAUGAGUGAAAUCUCUUCGGAGACAUAUAGACAGGUGGUGCAUGGUUGUCGUCAGCUCGUGUCGUGAGAUGUUGGGUUAAGUCCCGCAACGAGCGCAACCCUUACUGUUAGUUGCUACGCAAGAGCACUCUAGCAGGACUGCCGUUGACAAAACGGAGGAAGGUGGGGAUGACGUCAAAUCAUCAUGCCCCUUAUGACCUGGGCCUCACACGUACUACAAUGGCUGUCAACAGAGGGAAGCAAAGCCGCGAGGUGGAGCAAACCCCUAAAAGCAGUCUUAGUUCGGAUUGUAGGCUGCAACCCGCCUACAUGAAGUCGGAAUUGCUAGUAAUCGCAGAUCAGCAUGCUGCGGUGAAUACGUUCCCGGGCCUUGUACACACCGCCCGUCACGCCAUGGGAGUCGGUAACACCCGAAGCCUGUAGUCUAACCGCAAGGAGGACGCAGUCGAAGGUGGGAUUGAUGACUGGGGUG
rnacentral:rRNA from 1 species